GCGGCCGUGGCGGAAUCGGCAGACGCGCUAGGUUGAGGGCCUAGUGGGGGUUAACCCCGUGGUGGUUCAAAUCCACUCGGCCGCACCA
rnacentral:tRNA from 1 species